rnacentral:rRNA from 1 species
UUCCCCUAGUAACUGCGAGUGAAGCGGGAAAAGCUCAAAUUUAAAAUCUGGCAGUCUUUGGCUGUCCGAGUUGUAGUCUGGAGAAGCGUCUUCCGCGCUGGACCGUGUACAAGUCUCCUGGAACGGAGCGUCAUAGAGGGUGAGAAUCCCGUCUUUGACACGGACUACCAGUGCUUUGUGAUGCGCUCUCAAAGAGUCGAGUUGUUUGGGAAUGCAGCUCAAAAUGGGUGGUAAACUCCAUCUAAAGCUAAAUAUUGGCGAGAGACCGAUAGCGAACAAGUACCGUGAGGGAAAGAUGAAAAGCACUUUGGAAAGAGAGUUAAACAGUACGUGAAAUUGCUGAAAGGGAAACGCUUGAAGUCAGUCGCGUCCGCUAGAACUCAGCCUGGCUUUUGCUUGGUGCAUUUUCUAGUGGACGGGCCAGCAUCACUUUUGGCUGCGGGAUAAAGGUCGCAGGAAUGUGGCACCUUCGGGUGUGUUAUAGCCUGUGAUUGUAUACCGUGGCUGGGAGUGAGGACCGCAGCACGCCUUCAUGGCGGGGGUUCGCCCACCUUCGUGCUUAGGAUGCUGGCGUAAUGGCUUUAAACGACCCGUCUUGAAACACGGACCAAGGAGUCUAACAUGCCUGCGAGUGUUUGGGUGGAAAACCCGAGCGCGUAAUGAAAGUGAAAGUUGGGACCUCUGUCGUGGAGGGCACCGACGCCCGGACCAGACCUUCUGUGACGGAUCCGCGGUAGAGCAUGUAUGUUGGGACCCGAAAGAUGGUGAACUAUGCCUGAAUAGGGUGAAGCCAGAGGAAACUCUGGUGGAGGCUCGUAGCGAUUCUGACGUGCAAAUCGAUCGUCAAAUUUGGGUAUAGGGGCGAAAGACUAAUCGAACCAUCUAGUAGCUGGUUCCUGC